UACGAAGGGGGCUAGCGUUGCUCGGAAUCACUGGGCGUAAAGGGUGCGUAGGCGGGUCUUUAAGUCAGGGGUGAAAUCCUGGAGCUCAACUCCAGAACUGCCUUUGAUACUGAGGAUCUUGAGUUCGGGAGAGGUGAGUGGAACUGCGAGUGUAGAGGUGAAAUUCGUAGAUAUUCGGAAGAACACCAGUGGCGAAGGCGGCUCACUGGCCCGGUACUGACGCUGAGGUGCGAAAGCGUGGGGAGCAAACAGGAUUAGAA
rnacentral:rRNA from 1 species